UGGGGAAUAUUGGACAAUGGGCGAAAGCCUGAUCCAGCAACGCCGCGUGAGGGAUGACGGCCUUCGGGUUGUAAACCUCUUUCAGUAGGGACGAAGCGCAAGUGACGGUACCUACAGAAGAAGCACCGGCCAACUACGUGCCAGCAGCCGCGGUAAUACGUAGGGUGCGAGCGUUGUCCGGAAUUAUUGGGCGUAAAGGGCUCGUAGGCGGUUUGUCGCGUCGGGAGUGAAAGCUCAGGGCUUAACCCUGAGCCUGCUUCCGAUACGGGCAGACUAGAGGUAUGCAGGGGAGAGCGGAAUUCCUGGUGUAGCGGUGAAAUGCGCAGAUAUCAGGAGGAACACCGGUGGCGAAGGCGGUUCUCUGGGCAUUACCUGACGCUGAGGAGCGAAAGUGUGGGGAGCGAACAGG
rnacentral:rRNA from 1 species